rnacentral:rRNA from 1 species
UACGGCGGGGGCUAGCGUUGUUCGGAAUUACUGGGCGUAAAGCGCACGUAGGCGGCUAUUUAAGUCAGGGGUGAAAUCCCGGGGCUCAACCCCGGAACUGCCUUUGAUACUGGGUAUCUGGAGGUCGAGAGAGGCGAGUGGAAUUCCGAGUGUAGAGGUGAAAUUCGUAGAUAUUCGGAGGAACACCAGUGGCGAAGGCGGCUCGCUGGCUCGAUACUGACGCUGAGGUGCGAAAGCGUGGGGAGCAAACAGG